AGAUGUUUUGAGACUACAAUUCCCAUCAUCCCUGACCACUGGUCCUGCUGGCUAGGGAUGAUGGGAGUUGUAGGCCAAAAACAUCU